rnacentral:rRNA from 1 species
AUGUUAAUACUGCACUGUAUAGGUGACAGAAGUGAUUACUGUAUUUUUUUUCUGUGGCUGUUGAUAUAUGGACUUAACAAUAAGAUGGGACUUUGCGUUCCCCUGAGCAGUUCUAAAUUAUUUGCAUGUGCACAAAAUAUAUUUUUUCUGAAACAUUUUAUGUUUUCUGCCCAUGAAUUAAGCUUUUUUUUACACCCAUGCUUGUUUUUUGGCACCGCACUUCCUGAUAUUCAUACUUUGCAAAUAACACAUUUCUAUUCCCUGAAAGAGCCGAUUACUCAUAAAUUUACUAAUAUGGAGACCAGAUUGCUCAAACCAAAAAGCAGAAUAGGUGAUGUAUGUGUACGAGACACACGACUCUCAGAAUAA